AAGUCGUAACAAGGUUUCCGUAGGUGAACCUGCGGAAGGAUCAUUAACACGUAUCCAACGUUAAACCCCCUGUGAAUUUUAAGUGGUCGCUGGAGGCCCACACGGUCGGCGGACAUGCCUCAUGGGCGCAAGCCCCUUUUUAACCCCACUAAACUUCUCCUUCCCUGUGGCGAAAGCCGCAGGUGCAAAAAACGAACAACUGUUAACAAUGGAUAUCUUGGUUCUC
rnacentral:misc_RNA from 1 species